rnacentral:misc_RNA from 1 species
GCAGUAGUGUAGCGGUAUCUGAACCUGUGAACUCCGAGUCUUCUUCAAGUCCUGUAAGGAAGAGAAUAGUCUCCGGUGUUCAGCCUACUGGAUCUAUACAUCUGGGGAAUUACCUUGGUGCCAUAAAGAACUGGAUACGAUUGCAGGAUACAUAUGAGACAUUCUUCUUCAUUGUGGACCUUCAUGCGAUAACUUUGCAAUAUGAAGCACAACAAUUGCUAAAGGCAACAAGGGAUACAGCUGCUAUUUAUCUAGCAUGUGGUGUAGAUCCUUCUAAGGCUUCAG